rnacentral:rRNA from 1 species
UAAGACGGAGGGGGCAAGCGUUGUUCGGAAUUACUGGGCGUAAAGCGCGCGUAGGCGGUCUACCAAGUGUCGAGUGAAAGCCCUCGGCUUAACCGAGGAAGGGCUUGGCAAACUGGUGAACUUGAGUGCCGGAGGGGGAUGCGGAAUUCCUAGUGGAGCGGUGAAAUGCGUAGAGAUUAGGAAGAACGUCGGUGGCGAAGGCGGCAUCCUGGACGGACACUGACGCUGAGGUGCGAGAGCGUGGGGAGCGAACGGGAUUAGAUACCCCGGUAGUCCACGCCGUAAACGAUGGGUACUAGGUGUGGGGGUGGUGAUCAUCUCCGUGCCGGCGCUAACGCAGUAAGUACCCCGCCUGGGGAGUACGGUCGCAAGGCUG